UGUAUCGCGGCAAUUAAAAUGAAUCACUAUGGAUUUUUAAUUAAAACAUAAAUUACAUUUGAGCGAUCGAUUAGCGACAUUCGUUAAUUGUAGUUGACUUGUCGGUUUCAAAUCCAUUUAAUGUUAAGGGCGUCCAUAGAAAAUGUUAAUUUGCAUGUGUGUUGCUUGGAUCCUAAAACUACUGUUGAAAGUUUAACUCUAAUAAUGUGAAAGGAACAUUUCCUGAAGUACAGUGUGGAAUCCGAGGUGGAACCCUUGCAUCAAAAAAACCUGAUCUAUACGCUUCCUUUAAAGUUUCAAUUUACGAGAGAAAUUUUAAAGCUGCUAUGGAUCCAGGUAUUUUUCCAAGCGGAGCAGCAAUUAGUCGGUUUUUUUACCGACGCAACUCGGAGGCAGUCCACAAAACUUAGAAAAUGUUGGUUUUAAUCCUAGUCUUUUACUACUUAAUAUAAAUAUCAUUAAUUCAUAUAAAACGUAUUGUUGUACUUCGUGGACUAAAUCAACGUGUCUUGUAAUUCAUUUAAGGGACUAAAAUGUCACUUUUUCUCCCGCAGG